UAUCCAACCUGCCGUCUACUCUUGGACAGCCUUCUGAAGGAAGAUUAAUACAAGAUGGCAUCAUGAGUCCGCAUGUUCACAUGAUUAAAGGUAUUCCGGUAGACGAUGGGGAUGCGUUCCAUUAGAUAGUAGGCGGGGUAACGGCCCACCUAGUCUUCGAUGGAUAGGGGUUCUGAGAGGAAGGUCCCCCCACAUUGGAACUGAGACACGGUCCAAACUCCUACGGGAGGCAGCAUG
rnacentral:rRNA from 1 species